rnacentral:rRNA from 1 species
UACGUAGGUGGCAAGCGUUGUCCGGAUUUACUGGGCGUAAAGAGCGCGCAGGCGGUCGGAUAAGUCGAAUGUGAAAGCCCCCGGCUCAACUGGGGAGGGUCAUUCGAUACUGUUCGACUGGAAGGCAGGAGAGGGAAGCGGAAUUCCCGGUGUAGUGGUGAAAUGCGUAGAUAUCGGGAGGAACACCAGUGGCGAAGGCGGCUUCCUGGACCGACACUGACGCUGAGGCGCGAAAGCUAGGGUAGCAAACGGG